CCUCCUCUUCGUCUCCACCUCCUAUCCUGCCUUCUUCCUCCCACCCUCUGAUACUCUAGGCUACCGUUUGAAUCGGGGUUAAAAAAAUACUAGUUAUUUCAGAAAUAAGCUUAAUUUUAGAGUUAAAUUAGGAUUAGAGUAUUUUUGUAUUUGAUUAGGGAUUGAAAUUAAUUCAGAAUAGUAAAAAAUAGUAUUUGAUUAGAGUAUGUGAGAUCAGAAGAAUAGUGGGUUAUUAUGAAUAGAAAAUAGUGUUUAGUUUGGAUUUGGUAGGGUUAGAUAGAGUUAGCUAAUUCGGGAUAACUCAUUUGAGGUGGGGUUAGCUGGGAUUAGCUAACCCCACCUAUUUUUAAAAGUGUUUCGGGAUAAAAUGGAGGUUAAGAGGUUAUUCUACCCUUAACCCCCAACCAAUUUCAUCCACUAUUUAUUUUUUAUAAAA
rnacentral:lncRNA from 1 species